rnacentral:tRNA from 1 species
GGGGGUAUAGCUCAGUGGCAGAGUACAGUGCUUAGCAUGCACGAGACAUGGGGUCAAUCCCCAGUACCUCCA